rnacentral:lncRNA from 1 species
CCCCCCGCCCCGUUCCUCUCCUGGGGCGAGCCACCUCCCCGCCGCCGCCAGCCUUCGCUUCCUGCUCCUCCUCCUCCUCCUCCGCCCCGUCCCCAACCUGCGAGCCCUGGCCUGGCCCCAGCACCCGUCCCACAGCAAUAUGUCCCCAGCCCCGCUUGUCCCGGUGUAAUUUUCCCCCUUCCCAGGGCAGGAUCCAGCCCCUGACCCCCCUGUGCAGGGCCGGGAGCACCCCCAGGGGCCGUGACCGUGCUUCAGUUUCCCCAGCUGGCUUUUUGGGGCGCAGCCCUUCACCGGGAGGUGACGGCAGCUCUCCCGGGACCAUUUGGGGACAAGCGCCAAGCUGCUGGAGCCCCGGCAGGAGGUGGGGACCUGUUCCGAGCCGUGCCGUGCCAAUACAGGAACAUCCCAGUCCCCAGGGGGUCGGGGCAGGGCCCGGCACGCUGUGGCUGUGCCAUGGGGAGCGCGGCCUCCCCGGGGGACCCACGGUGCCGAGGCUGCUGGCUGCAGUUUGCCGGGAGGAAGCGGCCCCGUCCCGGCCGUGCCGUGCCCCAGACGUGCUGCUCCGGCACGGGGCGUCUGCCUGGCACCACGGCAGAGCCUGCGCGGCGCCACGGCCGCCUCCUGCAGCGGGGAUUGAGCCUGCCACAAUUAGCACCAGCCCAGCACCGCACACCUCGGGAAUGACAGCGUCACGGUCCGGGGCCAGCUCACUCACGGCUGUCACCGCGGGGGGACACAACGCAUCCUCAGCCGGCUCCUCUGCGUCGACCAUCGUGGGGACAACCUGGCUGGGGACGUUGCACCCGGACACGUCCGCUCCGCUCAGCAAAGGGAACACGACAGCACACACGUCGCCACCCAGCCCGGCCCCGGCUUCCUCCCUACCCAGGAGCCCAAAAGCAGCAGCAGCAUCCACUCCUCCGACCGUGACACCGGGCUCGCCGACAACGACCCCAGCUCCAGCCACGUCGGUGCCACCCACCACGACCGCGGGGGCCGACACGAACACGUCCCUGCCCAGCUCGACCCCAGCACCAAGCCCGUCCUCGUUGGGGCCCUCCGAGCCCGUUCCUGCUCCCAGCUCUCCUGCUGCGCCCACCGUGAGCCCUGCUCCCAGCACAGCGCCAGCCCCCGGCCCCAGCAACGCCUCGGCCCCCAGCCCCAGCACAGCGCCAGCCCCCGGCCCCAGCAACGCCUCGGCCCCCGGCCCCAGCACAGCACCAGCCACCAGCCCCAGCACAGCACCCGUCAUCGGCACCAGCCUUGGGGCUGGCCCCUCAGCGCAGCCCCCCACCAAACCCAACCCCGGCCUGGUCGUCAUCAUCUGCCUCUUCGUCGCGGUGCUGGUGGGGGCCACGGCGCUGCUGCUGGUGCGGCUGUGCCGCUGCGGGACCCCCGGCUUCCAGCGGCUGGACGAGGUGCCCAUGGUGUGUGGGGGGCUUGCGGGGGGGGG